rnacentral:rRNA from 1 species
AUGGAGGUACAGCUCGAGGGGGAGGAAGAUGAUUGGAAUUAUGACUCAUCCAACGAGGACUACAUCUAUGAUGAAGAUUCAGAUGGGCAAAUAGUGAAGAGGAAGAGCAAGUUCCCAAGAUAUAACAAUGACACUGAAAUACCACAUUUCAGUUUGUCGAUGGUGUUCAGAAGCAAGAACCAACUUUGCAAAGCUUUGAGAAGAUAUGGAAUUGUCACAAAAAGGAGUAUCGAGUUCUUAAAAUCAGAGUCUGAUAGAGUGAGAGCGAAGUGUGGAUGGCCUGGUUGUCCGCUAUUAUAUGCAGCAAAAAAUUCAAGAACUUCAAGAAUGCAAGUGGUUACCUUCAAUGAUGAACAUCAUUGUGCUCAGAAUAGGCAAAACAAACUUGUAACUACUAAAGUGCUUGCACAAAGAUAUGAACACUUCAUACUAGCUAACCCAAUGUGGAAGAUUGACAGCAUGAAAGCAACAGUUCUCCAAGAUAUGUUUGCCGACGUGUCGACUUCUAAGUGUAAGCAUGCAAAAAAGCUUGUCAUGGACAAAUUGAUGUGCCGUAUGAAG